CCACAGUGUCCAGACCUGAAUAUUAUAGACAGUAUGGGAUCACAUGGACAGAGAAAGAAAUAAAAGACAACCGAACUCUAAAGAAGAACUCUAAAGAAGUGAUGAAAAAUUAUACCAAUAGAUUACUUCAUAAACUUCACAUCAGGACAGUCUCUCCCAAAAAGAGUUCAAGAUGUGCUUAGUGCCAAGGGAGGUCACACUAAAUAUUGACCUUGCCUGAAGACGCCAUUUUGUUUGGAAAAUGUUGCUUUUUUUUAUAUUUUGUGUAGAUACUUCCUGUAUUUUCUGUUUGUAUCUUAAUAAAG